GACGAACGCUGGCGGCGUGCUUAACACAUGCAAGUCACGGGGGCCCGCAAGGGCAACCGGCGAACGGGUGCGUAACACGUGAGCAACCUGCCUAUCUGCGGGGGAUAGCCGGCCCAACGGCCGGGUAAUACCGCAUACGUUCACGAGGGGACAUCCCCUUGUGAGGAAAACUCCGGUGCAGAUAGAGGGGCUCGCGGCCUAUCAGCUAGUUGGUGAGGUAACGGCUCACCAAGGCGACGACGGGGAGCUGGUCUGAGAGGAUGGCCAGCCACAUUGGGACUGCGACACGGCCCAGACUCCUACGGGAGGCAGCAGUGGGGAAUAUUGCGCAAUGGACGAAAGUCUGACGCAGCGACGCCGCGUGUGGGAUGAAGCUCUUCGGGGUGUAAACCACUGUUGCCCGGGAAGAAUCUCCUGAUUCAUCAGGAUUGACGGUACCGGGUGAGGAAGCA
rnacentral:rRNA from 1 species